AGAUGUAUUGUCCUUUGAAGUAAACAAUUUCGACUAUGUAAUGUUUCUACCACUUGUCAUCAGUCGACUAUUAUCAGGUUCGUUUAGCUAGUUAACUAAUAGGUUCUUAUUUAGUAUGUUGUUACGUUAGCGAAAUUUUAUAAUAUUUCAAAUUUUCUCUGGUUGUCUGUUACCAACGGCUUGUGUUAUGAGUUUUUCAAACAAAAUUUGAGUUUGAUUAUUGCUUCAUUUUGACUCAAUUAAUUCAGUUUUAUACAUUAAUUCUAAAUGCUUGAUUGUAAUUUGCUUGUUUGCAAAUGAUUGAUUGAGUUCGCAGAUGACUUCGAAAAAAGUGUCAUGUAUUGGCGUUGUGACAACUCAGAGAUUUUUAAUGCAAAAGGUUUGUUAACGUUUAUUUAUUUUAACAGAGAUAGAGUCAUGAAACAACUUUUGUUAUUUCUGUGAAAGAGUUGAACUACACGUUCAGACACGUUUCAAAGCUAUGUGAAGUUCGUAUGUGUUGUUAAUAUGUUCGCCUGGGGCAUAUUUAUCUAAUUUUAUCUUACAAGUAUUCUUGAAUUUCUACAACACAUUGCUGUCUACCAUGUUUAUUCUGUACUUAGUCAAUGAUAGGAUAUAAAAAAGAAUUGCGUGUUGAGUUUAUUCUACAGUCUGUCAAUGAUUUAAAUUUAUUCAAAAAUCGAUAUUUAUAAAUUGAAAUUUAAUUUCAAUUCCAACCGCCAGUAGCGCUGCAAUCGUAUUCUAUGCGAAGUCGGUAAUGUCGCAAAUAACAUGGAAAUAACAAGUUUAUGCAAUAAUAGGUUCUAAAUAUAAAGUAAAAAAGUGAUUGUUCUUAAAUCAAUUUCAAGUUGUCAAAUUCAAGUCAUAUCUCUGUUAAAAGUAACAAAGUAAAAUAACGCGAAAGGACAAUAAUAAUUAUUAUUAUUAUUAUUGCUUUUAUAUCUGCAAACUUGCGUAUACAUAGUUACAUAUUACGUUAUACAUACGCAUGGAUUUUGUAAAACACUUCGAAUUAUUAAUUACCAGUAAUCAAUAAGUCGGCAAGUUUGGUUUGUAGGUGCCAUGUCAGAUGCGUCUGUUUUUAAAAUGAAUUCAUUGAUAGAAGGAUUAGAUAUUUAAGGCGAUUCUUUCGUUUAUUUUGUCCGAUUCUCUCAGUCGGACGACACACGGCAAUGACAUUAAUGACACAGUGGGCAGGAUGUGAUUAAUUCAGAUUACUCGUCAUGUGUGACUCACAUUAUGUGCAUGCGCGCGGCUCAAGUGACGAAAAGAGAGAGAAGGUAACUACCAAUAGUACAAGUGCUGUGAAUCGCAUACACGAGCUGCCACCAGGCACUAAGGUCGCACACACGAGGUUUGACCUUAGCCCCCAAUUUGUUUUACGACGAUCAAGUUGAGGAAAUCGUUUUCGCAGCCUUCUUUAUUGCGAUAGCUACUCAAUGACUAUGUCACACAGGUGUAUUAGCAUUAAGUAUUAUGGCCGUUUCUGAUCAUAUUUUAAUAAA